UUGGACUUACCCACAUCCCAAGGCUGGAGGACUGGCCUGUCAUGCCAGUGGAACGCAUUGGUUUCAUGCUCAUGCCGCAUGGAUUCUUCAACUGUUCGCCUGCGGUUGACGUGCCUCCUGGCACUUCUGAUGCUGCUGAUGUGAAGGAAGCUGACUCGCCUAAAGUCAUCCAGAAUGGCGUUGUUUCCAAACUCUGAGCUUGCAGCGCCACAAAAAGAUAAACUACUGCAGUACUACUACGAAUGUUGCUCCGAAUAAAAUUUGUUUUCUUAUA